rnacentral:rRNA from 1 species
GGACUACCAGGGUAUCUAAUCCCAUUCGCUCCCCUAGCUUUCGUUCCUCAGUGUCAGUAAUGUCCCAGCGAGUCGCUUACGCCACCGGUGUUCUUCCCAAUAUCUACGCAUUUCACCGCUACACUGGGAAUUCCACUCGCCUCUAACACACUCGAGUCUGCCAGUAUCCAGGGCACUACACGGGUUGAGCCCGCGCCUUUAACACCAGACUUAACAAACCACCUACGAACUCUUUACGCCCAAUAAAUCCGGACAACGCUCGCAUCCUACGUCUUACCGCGGCUGCUGGCAC